CAGUUCGGAUUGCAGGCUGCAACUCGCCUGCAUGAAGUCGGAAUUGCUAGUAAUCGCGGAUCAGCAUGCCGCGGUGAAUACGUUCCCGGGCCUUGUACACACCGCCCGUCACACCAUGAGAGUUUGUAACACCCAAAGCCGGUGGGGUAACCUUUUGGAGCCAGCCGUCUAAGGUGGGACAGAUGAUUGGGGUGAAGUCGUAACAAGGUACC
rnacentral:rRNA from 1 species